rnacentral:sRNA from 1 species
UUUUUCAGAACACUUCCCAUACAUUCCCAUUUGAUCAUCACCACAGUCCUGUGAGAUUCAGAAGAUGAUUUCUAAAUUUCUAUAGCCAUAGAUAGAGCAUAUUGGUGGUAUAUUGCACCAGAACAAAAAAGGGAAGCGUGUGAAGGGAGAAAGGAAAAAAAUAGAAGUAAAAGAAACACAUGGGAGAGAUGGAAAUAAGAACAAAUAUAAGUUGAGGAGAGGGAGGUGGAGCAAAAAGGAGCUGAUGGUACACACAUGGAUGGUGAUCAAAUUGUUGUGGAAGUACAAGAAACUGUUUUUGUUUCAGAUGUUGUGGAUUCAGACAUAACUGUGCAUAACUUUGUUCCUGAUGACCCAGAUUCGGUUGUAAUCCAAGAUGUUAUUGAGGACGUUGUUAUAGAAGAUGUUCAGUGCCCAGAUAUCAUGGAAGAAGCAGAUGUAUCUGAAACGGUCAUCAUUCCUGAGCAAGUGCUGGACUCAGAUGUAACUGAAGAAGUUUCUUUAGCACAUUGCACAGUCCCAGAUGAUGUUUUAGCUUCUGACAUUACUUCAGCCUCAAUGUCUAUGCCAGAACACGUCUUGACGGGUGAUUCUAUACAUGUGUCU